rnacentral:rRNA from 1 species
UUCCACCGGAGCUUGCUCCACCGGAAAAAGAGGAGUGGCGAACGGGUGAGUAACACGUGGGUAACCUGCCCAUCAGAAGGGGAUAACACUUGGAAACAGGUGCUAAUACCGUAUAACAAUCGAAACCGCAUGGUUUUGAUUUGAAAGGCGCUUUCGGGUGUCGCUGAUGGAUGGACCCGCGGUGCAUUAGCUAGUUGGUGAGGUAACGGCUCACCAAGGCGACGAUGCAUAGCCGACCUGAGAGGGUGAUCGGCCACAUUGGGACUGAGACACGGCCCAAACUCCUACGGGAGGCAGCAGUAGGGAAUCUUCGGCAAUGGACGAAAGUCUGACCGAGCAACGCCGCGUGAGUGAAGAAGGUUUUCGGAUCGUAAAACUCUGUUGUUAGAGAAGAACAAGGAUGAGAGUAACUGUUCAUCCCUUGACGGUAUCUAACCAGAAAGCCACGGCUAACUACGUGCCAGCAGCCGCGGUAAUACGUAGGUGGCAAGCGUUGUCCGGAUUUAUUGGGCGUAAAGCGAGCGCAGGCGGUUUCUUAAGUCUGAUGUGAAAGCCCCCGGCUCAACCGGGGAGGGUCAUUGGAAACUGGGAGAC